AAAUGUGAGGGCGAUCUGGCUGCGGCAUCUGCCACCUCAUUCAUCGCCAGGGUUGAUUUGGCUGAUCCGGCUGGCGAGGCGGGUGUCCCCUUCCUCCCUCACUGCUCUAUGUGUGUCCUUCUCAGAGCUGUCCACUCUGCGGAAGAGAGGACCGUUCUUCCAUCAAGGGCGUGUGAGUAGCUGUGCUCCCCUGCUAGAUCCACCAAACACGCACUCAAGGUCUAUUUGUAGGAGACCACAGGGCAGCCAAGACUGCAGACACAGCCAAAUGAGGCGCCACAUGUGGCAGUCUGCCUUUCUUU
rnacentral:snRNA from 1 species